UACGAAGGGGGCUAGCGUUGUUCGGAUUUACUGGGCGUAAAGGGUGCGUAGGCGGAUAUGUCAGUCAGGGGUGAAAUCCCGGGGCUCAACCUCGGAACUGCCUUUGAUACAGCAUAUCUUGAGUCCGAUAGAGGUGGGUGGAAUUCCUAGUGUAGAGGUGAAAUUCGUAGAUAUUAGGAAGAACACCGGUGGCGAAGGCGGCCCACUGGAUCGGUACUGACGCUGAGGUGCGAAAGCGUGGGGAGCAAACAGG
rnacentral:rRNA from 1 species